GUCUACAGCCAUACCACCCUGAACGCGCCCGAUCUCGUCUGAUCUCGGAAGCUAAGCAGGUUUGGGCCUGGUUAGUACUUGGAUGGGAGAUGACAAACUGGGGGCACCCAUAAGGAACUCAUGAGCACUUCGUAGAAG
rnacentral:rRNA from 1 species